rnacentral:rRNA from 1 species
UUGACCUCGGAUCAGGUAGGGAUACCCGCUGAACUUAAGCAUAUCAAUAAGCGGAGGAAAAGAAACCAACAGGGAUUGCCCCAGUAACGGCGAGUGAAGCGGCAAGAGCUCAAAUUUGAAAGCUGGCCCCCUCGGGGUCCGCAUUGUAAUUUGCAGAGGAUGCUUCGGGAGCGGUCCCCAUCUAAGUACCCUGGAACGGGUCGUCAUAGAGGGUGAGAAUCCCGUAUGGGAUGGGGUGUCCGCGCCCGUGUGAAGCUCCUUCGACGAGUCGAGUUGUUUGGGAAUGCAGCUCUAAAUGGGUGGUAAAUUUCAUCUAAAGCUAAAUAUUGGCCGGAGACCGAUAGCGCACAAGUAGAGUGAUCGAAAGAUGAAAAGCACUUUGAAAAGAGAGUUAAAAAGCACGUGAAAUUGUUGAAAGGGAAGCGCUUGCGACCAGACUCGCCCACGGGGUUCAGCCGGCAUUCGUGCCGGUGUACUUCCCCGCGGGCGGGCCAGCGUCGGUUUGGGCGGCCGGUCAAAGGCCCUCGGAAUGUAACGCCCCUCGGGGCGUCUUAUAGCCGAGGGUGCCAUGCGGCCUGCCCGGACCGAGGAACGCGCUUCGGCUCGGACGCUGGCAUAAUGGUCGUAAGCGACC